rnacentral:lncRNA from 1 species
UUUAUUACAAGUCCUGAUAGUACUCGAAGGGCAUAACUUAACUACAAUAAUUGGAAGGGUGAAGCCUUUCCAUAAGAGAUAUAUAUAAAAACCUUCUAAGCUUCAAGUCCUCCACAUGAAGUAACUAACCCAAAGAUAGGGGAAUAAAACUUCUCCUACAAAAACAACAAGGGAUAAAACCCUGAGUAUGCAAUUACUCAGCAAGACUUACCCGACUAAAGAAAAGACUCUCAAGGAUAUGCUGGUUUGUUGGGAAUCAAGGUAAGGCUUGUCAAAUUUCAAAGACUCAUUUUGCAGAAGAGCUUACUAGUAGUGAAUCUUUAUGCCAAACUUUUACUUCACAAGUUAAUUAUUUUUCCUGAAUCUAGAUUUGCCUAAUCUAGAGCAUUCACUUGUCCUAUACUAGCUUCCUUUCAACCAAACCACAAUCAUGUUUCACUUAUUAAACUACGAUGCAGGGCAGUGAUCCAGUCUUCAUAUCCGAGAAGUACGAUGAUCCGAACCGAUUAAUACCCAGCUGGGGAUCUCCAACCACACGACAUAUGUAGCACUUAACCCUUGCAUAUGUCAACCAUUCCCAUGGAUCCUCCACUACAUGAACAGGUCCGCGCUACCCGGGAGCACAUUACCCUACCAUCCAGCCUCUUGCCAGGAGGAUAACUGCUACUCCCACCAUCUCCCACGCCCAGUGCGCGGUUGUCUUUUCACGUAUGGAAUAGCCGGGUUCAGGCUUACCCAUGGUGAGGUAUGUGGCCAGUUAAAGGGUCCUAGAUCAGCAGGCCAACAAUCGGUACGGUCCUUAAUCGACUCAGACGAAGACACUACAUCGAGACUCCUUUCUCGUGCAAGUCAACUGCCCGAUCUCAGCUUUAUUAUUUUCAACCCAAAGUUUGGUACCUGGCAGAGGUACAUCUUUUCCGACGUUGAACCCAUCCCGGCCGUGAUGGAUCCACCAUCAAGUUUUAUUUUUGAAAACUUCCCACCCACUGAAGCAUCACUUUUGUUUUAAAACAAAACAUUUUUGUUUGCUAAAGCAAGGCUAAGCAUCAUAAAAUUCUUUUCAAAACGGGUAUCAAGGAAGGGUAAUCAAUUUCAAGGAAGGAAAUGCAUCAACGGUUUAGCACACAACUCCUAUCACCUAAUGCAUCAAUCAAGUGAGAAAGAUUUUAAAAUAGCAAGGAGGUGACAAAUGCACCAGGGCUUGCCUUACUACAGGAGGAAAUAUGAUAUCUUCUAUUACGAUAAGCAGUUAGAUGGAAUCCACCACUGGAUCAGUAGAACUGGAACAGGCUCCUUCACAAAUCACUUCUUCUUGGUACUCUACAUGAAAUGCCAUGAUUAUGAAUGCCUGUGUAUAUGCUACUAGCAAGGAAAGUAUUACGAAGCACUACAAAAUUACAAUUACAAGCUAUCACCACAAGCCAUAACUACCAGGGAGCUAUUUACUGAACUUCAAUACUCUACACAAACGCAGAACGAUGGCGCUGGCCACCCGAAUUUCUUGACUAAAAACCACAUCAAAUUACAAUCCUAGAAGUUCCAAUCAGAUUUUCUCUCAUCUCCCUAUGCUGGCUUGAUACACUUUCUUACUAGGAGUUGCUCUUCUAUGAUCACUCUCCAACUUUACUUUAAAGGAUACUAGCUAAAACUCAACAGGCUUCAGGUUAGAGAGCUCCAAAGUUGGAACUCCACGAAACUACACAAUUCAGCUAACUGAACUAAAUUCAGCACCCUCUACCUAACAGAGCAACUUGGAAUAAUCUUUUCUCUCAAUUCAAAGCAAGGAUAGGGAGAUCCUUCUUAAAAGAAAUUGCUCCCCAAUAUUAGAUCUUCAAGUUUACUGCAAUGAUCAUCCACCAAAACUUCAAGAAUUGAGACUUAGAAGGGUUCAAAACUGAGAGGAAUUCACAGUUUCUAAAAAUUCAGCAAACUGAAUUACGUUUUAGAUUCUGAAACUGAACUCUACACCAAACUGAACCCCCACCUGUAACUCCAUUACUCCUCACAAUUCCAAACAAUAAUAGGCCAACCUUGACUAAUAAAAUUUGUUUACCACACAUAUCUGUACAAGUUUGCUGCAGCAGCCUUAGGUCAAAGAAUCAUGGAUCAAGAGUUAUAGUGCUCCAAAAAUGGGUUGAGAACACAUAAAAUUCUGUUUCAGCUGACUGAAACUAUAUACCUGUCAGUGAAAGUUUUGAGACGUUUUAUCCAAUUUUUUUACACAGCAGCAAUACCAAUGCUUCACUGACCUUUGAAGACCACGGAACGAAGACCACACGGGCAUGCAACUCACUGGAACGCUUUGGCCACAGCGAGGUGGGAGGUUUCGGUGGGUGUGGUCACCAGACAAUAGGGUUGGCAGGCGCAGCACAAAGGCAGAACAACCUAGUGACUGAGAAGAGGAGCUAACACUGGUUUGAACACAGGAACUACCUCGAUCUCGUGAGGAACACUGGCUAGAACUCGAGGGCAAGGAAAAGCUCCACUAGACCAAGCUCUGCAGUACACAGGAUAAGAGGACAGAGGCAUCGAGCUCAGCCAUAUCUUGGUGAAGAAGGGCCCCAAGGGUGCCAGCACCUCAUGGGAGAGCACACGUGGCCAACAAGCACAAAUACCAGGCCAGCUCACAAACU